rnacentral:rRNA from 1 species
AUGAACGCUGGCGGCGUGCCUAAUACAUGCAAGUCGAGCGAACAGAUGAGGAGCUUGCUCCUCUGACGUUAGCGGCGGACGGGUGAGUAACACGUGGAUAACCUACCUAUAAGACUGGGAUAACUUCGGGAAACCGGAGCUAAUACCGGAUAAUAUAUUGAACCGCAUGGUUCAAUAGUGAAAGACGGUUUUGCUGUCACUUAUAGAUGGAUCCGCGCCGCAUUAGCUAGUUGGUAAGGUAACGGCUUACCAGGGCAACGAUGCGUAGCCGACCUGAGAGGGUGAUCGGCCACACUGGAACUGAGACACGGUCCAGACUCCUACGGGAGGCAGCAGUAGGGAAUCUUCCGCAAUGGGCGAAAGCCUGACGGAGCAACGCCGCGUGAGUGAUGAAGGUCUUCGGAUCGUAAAACUCUGUUAUUAGGGAAGAACAAAUGUGUAAGUAACUAUGCACGUCUUGACGGUACCUAAUCAGAAAGCCACGGCUAACUACGUG